GUCAGCGAGACGCGUGCGUCAAAAGUCCCGACGUGCGUCCUUCAGCGGACGAACUUGUCCAGGAGACCCUCAACGACAACCCCCCCGAAAAAAAUAAAUAAUACGACCGAGCUGAUGGAUGGCAGGAGAGUUGCGACAAACUCAUCCAGAGAGCCGACGAAAUCUGUUCUGGUCCACCUCUGUCCAGUGUUUGUCCAGCUGCAGAUUUAACAAUGAGAGCUGAGAGAGCAGCAUGCAGCAGUGGAGUAAGAAGUCUACCGGGAGGAUGUGAGAACCGUUUGAGUUUCUGGAGACUCGCAUCACCUUUCCCAGAAUUAUUUGGAGCUGCAGCCCGGCUGUGUGUGGCUUUUAAUCGGUGUGGUUUUUUAUCACCGUCGGACACUCGGGUGGGCUUUGACAUCACGCCACACACGCUCCAGGAGUUUAGGAGAUAAAGCUUCAACACACGUUUGCAGGAGUGUGGGGACAGAAUUGUUUCACCAAUUGAUGAAUCUUCUAACUUUUUGUUUUUUUUUUGGCAACUUUUGGGUCAAAUAAAACACUGAAACCCUG